UGCGUCUCCAUCUGUGCGCGUGCGUGUGUGUAUGCCUCUCCAUCCAUAAGUGUGUAUGUAUGUGUAUGUGCAUCUCCAUCUGUGUAUGUGUGUUUGUGCACGUAUGUGUGUCUGUGUGUGCAAGAAACACUGGCAUGAGGGCAAGAGGCCAAAUCCAUACCAGUCUCCAGUGGAGAGAAGCGACUAAUAUUGCUGGCAAGUGAAGUGCACCUGUGUGUGUGUGUGCUACAGCCUCUCCUUCCACUGCCCCCUCCUCCCCCGCUCUGGCCCCCCAGUUCCCUCAGCACCCUGGGCUGACGGCUGCCAUACGUGUGGCCUGCUCCUACCAUGCCAUUUCCCCGGCUUUGCACCCAGCUGGCUGUGGCGGCUUCUCCAAGGCAGGGCGCAGCCCCACUCCUUGUUCCAGUUAUUUAUUGUCUCCCUCUGGUGCGCUUAGCCCUCAGCUUCGUUGGGCCAGGCGGGGCAUGAGCUGGGCUGUGCAGGCAGAUGGGCGCUGGCACCAGGACGAUUUUGUACCUCCCUGCCGUCCCGCGCUGUGCCGAGGUGACCGGCUGCUCUCUUUUUUUUUUUUACAUGACUGUAAAUAUAGAUAGAGCUUUAUUUUGUUAAUAAGACGAGGAGUAACUUAACCUGUAUAUUUCACAUACUUGUUUACAAUCCCCCCCUCCUCUUGGCACAAUAAAGAUGACAUUUUGGAGCAGAGAGUGGGGCUCACCGCUGUUUUGGGGUCAGAUGCUGCGGGCCAGAGGGUGCUGGCUCCAGCACAGAGCACACUGGAUCUUCAUUCCUCUGGGUCACUUCCAUUCUCCAUCUCCUACUAAGGUGUUUGCUUGUCUUCUCACAUCUUUCUUCUAUCCAACUGUCUUCACCUGCUUUGUUCUCUUACUUCAACCAUGCACUGCACCCUCGCUGGGUGGGCAGCAGUAGGAUCAAGCCCCUGACCUCUGGAUGUCAGAGCAGCAAGGCUAUGCGGUGCGCUCAGAGCUAUUUCUUAUGUGCUUUGCAUUUGCUGCCUGUCUUCUCUUUGCAGGCACACCCACACCGCCUUACUCGGGACAAGCAAUUAUUUUGCACAGGGGGCCACUUACUGAGUUUUGGCAAGCGGUUGAGGGCCGCACCGGUAGCUCCGCCCUCUGAUUGCCACAUUGGGUCCAGAAGUCCUGCCCCCUAACCCCUGACCUUUGCUACAGAAGUCCCUCCCGUUGCCUGCAACAGUACUCCUUUCAGGACGGGGUUUUGCCAUCUUGCAACCAGAAAAAUCAGCGAUCAACCCCCAUUGCCGCCGGAAGGAGUAGCAGAGAAGACAGCAGGAAAGCAGGUGUGAGCUGGCCUGCUGCUAUUUAAGAGACUAAUAAAUUGAUGUGCCAGCCACCUCCUUGGUGCCUGGUAUCUUCAUCUCCAAGUUCAUCCUUCCCCCCCUGCGCUGUCUUUGCUCUUUCCUGUCAUUUCACAUCCAAGCUCCCCUCACCUGCUGCCCUCUUUCAUUUCUACAGUGGUUCUCUUGUAACCACUGCGUGCUGAGUGCCUACAAGUGGAUCACCCAGGAUGCUGAAUCCCUUGCUGAAAAGGGAUUCGUGGCAGACGUCAUUUGACCUGGCUCUCCGGGAGUCAAGCAUUGGAGAUCGAAUCGAACACCUGAGGCUGCAGCCCCGAGUCAUGCGAGUCCAGACGCUUUUGGGAGUCAACCGACAUCAGCCCCGGAAGGACGAGCAGACAAGACGGCAGGCGAGUAGAAGCGAGCUGACCAGGAGGGAAGAAAACCAGGCCAGCCUAACAGGAGGCAAAGCCCCCAGAAGAAGCAGGGAAGAUAGCAAAUGAGCAACUAAGAAAGGAAGAAACUCCCGCUCACCCAGCAGGAGGGAAAGGUCCCUGAAGGGCAGCUGGAGAAGAAUGAAUGGAAGCAGGAGAAGAAAGCUCGGGAACAAGUGUGGGUUGGGGUGGGCAGGAGGGAGGGAGCAAAAUGUUUAAUGUAUGCUUAGAUAGGUACAGAUGGAGACUGUUGUGCGCAUCUCUACACUUUCAAACACCCAUUAGGAGCAAGCAGCCGCACGCUUCAAGUAGCACCGUGCAUUUGGUCUUGGGUUGGCCCUGAUUGUGUUCGAUGAGGGUGAGGCUUUGUGCUAGUUGUGCGUAUUGAUAUGCAGCAGUCAAGGGUUUUGCAGGUUGUCUGGCCUGGCUAGUUAAGCAGUUGAUCAAAAUAGAUGUAUGAUUGAAGGCAGCGUGUAGGUUUUUGGUAAAGGUAGUUGGCCUGCUCAGUGUCAAACCGGUAGGAGCAAGCAUGCCUAAGAUGUGCACAGUUGCACGAUAAACAGUAUAAAAAACUUCACCUUGUGGCUGGUGCUUUUCUACAGAGAAGCUUUGGUCAUUAGCCUUUCCUGUUGAGAGCUGGCUGAAGGGAUAAACUUUUUCAUUCUGUCUGCCGAUCCAAUCUGUGUUCUUACGUGUUUAAUGCAAAUAUUUCCCGUUCUGACUGGCCAAUGGUAAACGAAUAUGUAGCGGACGGUUCCUAGUCAUCAGUUUACUAUUGUUAAUGCGCUGUAGGAAAUCAGUCCUGAUUUAUUUGAAGAACUAAAAAAAUAAGGUACAGUGAAGUUGUGGUGCUUUGUAUAAUUUGGUGAAGUUCAGCUGAUCCUUGUCUAAAAGGAAAAAAAUAGUCCCAAUAAAAAUAAAAUGCUCAGGAGACUUGUGAGCUUCUUGGUGUUUUUUUUAUUUUAGUUGUUUCAGACCUUCUUUGAAUGCCUUUAGUACAAGUCUUGCUGUCUCUAAUGGCAGGGUGGGUGCUUUUUCUUUAAGGGCUGGGUCCCAGCGGUGGGAAGCUGCAUUGUCACCGUUGCAAGGAGAACGACUGCGCGGAUCCCCAGCUGCCUCCAGGUUUUCAUGAGUCCCUUAAGUCCAGCUGCGGUCCCCUUUGCCUGUUUAAUGUAAUGUCUGCAGGCUUCCAGCCAGCAUUACCCAUGUCAUCCCUGAGGGGCUGCUGAGUUCAGGGGGAGCCAAACCCAU